UUUGGGAAGGGAGAUGUGCAUCUCUCUUCUCCCGUUAUUACAGGCAGUAACAAUCCUCAGGAUGAAAUUCUCCCUUGGGGACAUAAGUGGGACUUUGUUUAGAGGGGCAAAAACACGAGGUUUGUGUUUUUCAGUCUCAAAGCCAGCAUAUGGGUCUUAGGAUAUAUAAAACACUGCAAACUGGAAGAGGACAAUAAGGAAGUGUGAGGUGGUGAUGACAGCAACAGGGAUAUGUUCUUUAACAGUCACAGAAGGAAAUGAAACUCCGCAAAACCUUCUCUAGGCAACAAAAAAUAAACUGCCAUUGGAGUUCAAAGUAGCACGUAAAAUAGUUUUCUAUAUGCACUAGCAAAAAAAUAUGUAACUAUCAUAUAAUGAAAAUUAUCUUCUAGACCAGUGUUGAAUAUAAGAGUAAAGGUACACUUUGCUGGGAGUCUACUACUUCAAGUAGCAGAGAUCCUGCAAGAAAAACUGAUGCCAGCAGAACUCACCAACUUACAAGCUCUGAAUAGUUUGAGAAAUAUUAGAUUCUGGUACUGCUGACUUUGCAACUGAGUGGCCACAAAACUAUGAGAGAAACUCGACCUCCUACACUGGUUCUGUCACUGUCUCUUCAGUACAUCAUUACUGAAAAGAGAAGUUACAUAGAAACAGAUUCUAGUCACCCACUGCCUUUGGUACACAUCAUUCACAAUUUUCAAUUGCAAGACAGUGUAUUCUUGGACUCUGGCAAAAGAUGAUACAUCAGAACUAAUAAAUGCAGAGAUACAAUUGUUUAAAUUAGGUCAUUAAGCUACUCAUAAUGUAUUACAAUACUCAUAAGAACUCAACAACCUUGCAUUUCUGUGAAUUGCUAAAUGUUGUAUGCAUUCCUGAUACAUUCUUGUUAGCAUUUGAACACUCCUGGGCUCUUGUACCUGCUGCCCUCAAUUACUUCAACAAGGAAUAGCUCUUUCUUGGCUCUGUUACCACUUCCACCUGCUGGAAAGGAUGGAAAAAAAAUGUCACUGUACAGGUAAAUGGGAGUCCUGAGAUGUUUUCACUUACUGAAGGAUGGAAAACAUGAGAAAUCUCUCCCUUUUGAAAGCAACAGAGAGCAGAGCUAUUGAAAUUAUCAGAUUUUGAGACACAAGUUCUAUAACCAAAAAGCUCACUCCUUUUGAAACAGAGUUGCUUGGUGUAGUGGUAACAUGGCUGGAGUCAGAACUCCUGGGUCAUCCUCUUCUUUCCACCUCUGGCUCACUUGUUGGCCUUGGAAAAAGCUUUCUGUCAGGCUUGGGAAAACUUCUGUCCCAGUUUCUUCACCUGUGAAACAGGCUACAUUGAUAAACACUUACUUCACCAAAACAACUCGCUGGGCUUUGUGGGAUUCUCUGGAUGAUGCUUGUAAAUGUAAAUGAGUUCUGUGAAUGUCAAAAGUUCUUAUAUUAUAAUGUCAUGACUUUACGUACAGUUCAGGAACUUUAUACACAGAUCCCAGGGCAGAUGUCAUCCUGGGAAAUAGAAGGGCUAGAGUAAAUAUUGGAGCAAUGAGAAAAUGAUGCUUGAAUGGAAAAAAUAAAAUUACUUGUGGGGGAGACAGCACCAUGAGAGUAUCUGCUAUCUGCAGUCUUACCCAAAAUAAUAAUUUCUGCUGCCAUUCCAGCUAGAAACAGGUUACAGCUUCAUAUAAGCACUCACAGAAUUGGGGCUUGAAGAAAACAGGAAAUAACACA